UACGGGGGGAGCAAGCGUUGUUCGGAUUUACUGGGCGUAAAGGGCGCGUAGGCGGGCGCAACAAGUCACUUGUGAAAUCUCCGGGCUUAACCCGGAGCGGUCAAGUGAUACUGUCGUGCUAGAGUGUGGAAGGGGCAAUCGGAAUUCUUGGUGUAGCGGUGAAAUGCGUAGAUAUCAAGAGGAACACCUGAGGUGAAGACGGGUUGCUGGGCCAACACUGACGCUGAGGCGCGAAAGCCAGGGGAGCAAACGGG
rnacentral:rRNA from 1 species